UAACUAAACAUAUACAAACAAUAAUUUUGAGGUUUGAACAAGAUGCGAUUUGAACCAUAAAAUAGUAUUAUUUCAGUUAAUAUAUCCGAACGAGAUUCUACAACACAUCAAGAGAUUCUUGAUCGGAACCGACGGCGAAGGAAGCUCCGUCGUCUUCGAUGCCGUCCGUCGGAAGAGCCUACGCGGCUCCUAUAUUCAUCUUCAUCCUCGCUAUGAUAGUUUUGGGUAUAAAGAUGUACAGUUCAGUGGAAGUCGUGAGAGACUAUUGCUUCUAAGUGGAACAAUACGCCUAUGAGCUGUUAACAAAUGUGGUAUGGAAGAGGGGACUAUGACGUAUGGCAUAGACGAAUCAGUAGUAAGUUCUUAUCUCUGUUUUCUCAAUCAUGUUGUCCACAAAGAAGGAAGAUUUAUUCUGACUUUUUUCGAAAAUCAAUUGCGUGGUUUAAUGGUUGCAGCGUAUUAUAGAGGAGCUUGAAAAACAAUAUAUGAUGUGGAAGAUUUUGUAAAAAUAAAACUUCCCCUGCUGUAGGUUGUUUCUUAUGGUCAGUAGUUAACUGACAGAUUUCUUUGAUAUUUUCGGAGCCUGAACGUGAAGGUUAUAUGACAAUUACGUCCCAAGAUUCUAAGCCAUGCAUGGCUCAUUCAGGUACGUAUCUUUCUGGUUGUAUACACAGGGACAGGUGUGUAAAUUUGUGUAUACACUGAUACUGGAAUACCAAGUCUAGAAUGCCUAGCAAGCGUUUUGAAACCUUUCUUACAAGAGAUACAAGCAAUCGGGCAUAAUAUUGAUAAGUAAAUAACUAAAUAUUGGCAUGCGUGUAACCAAAUUCUCUUGGAAGCCCUUUGUCGUACAGGCGGAGGAGGAGAAGUAGAAGAAAGAGAGAACAAUGAAUGAGGAAUACAAAGGGUGAGGAGGAUCCUGCUUCCAUCACUGAUAACGAACCUAAAGAUGACGUCCAGAUUCUAUUUCAGGUUCUGAUUCUGACUAAUAUGUUAUAAGCCAUAGAAAUCUACUUUCUUUUCACAUUUUACAUUGUUUCUUUGUGCUUUUUUUUUGUUGUAAAAUUUAAUGAAAUUCAGUUUCAUGUUGAACAGUUAACUAUAUAUAAAAAGAGUACAUGCAACUCGACUGUUUUGGCGGUAGAUAGUGUGAUCGCAAUAACUAGUAUACAGAGUGAUCAAUCGACCAAAAGAUAGCACAACUCCUCUAUAGCAUUUUGAGAAGACAAGACUUGUACACUUUUAAUAACACGUACAUACUCGCUCAUUAUAUUUUGAGUUGAUCUUAUUUUCUUCACCUGUGCUAUGAAAAUUUAAGAACGAGCCAAAAAUUCAGUCAUUUGAAGACAAAGCAGCUACUACUACAUACACUGCAAAUGACUAUCUUCAUCACCAUGCAGAUGCAGGUCUAGAUACUCCAGUGCUUCGUAUCAACUCGACGAAUAUAUGUUUUUUACUUGGUAGUUGGUAUACUAUAUAGUACAUUAUACAUGAUAAGUGUUAUGUUUAAAUUAAAACUCCA